rnacentral:misc_RNA from 1 species
GAUGAAGAACGUAGCGAAAUGCGAUAAGUAAUGUGAAUUGCAGAAUUCAGUGAAUCAUCGAAUCUUUGAACGCACAUUGCGCCCCUCGGUAUUCCGAGGGGCAUGCCUGUUCGAGCGUCAUUAUAACCCUUCAAGCUCAGCUUGGUGUUGGGGCCUGCUGUAACUGGUAGCCCUUAAAAUCAGUGGCAGUGCCCUUCGGCUCUAAGCGUAGUAACUUUUCUCGCUACAGAACCCGGAGGGUACGCGCCAAAACCCCCAACUUUCUAUGGUUGACCUCGGAUCAGGUAGGGAUACCCGCUGAACUUAAGCAUAUCAAUAAGCGGAGGA